UACGUAGGGGGCAAGCGUUGUCCGGAUUUAUUGGGCGUAAAGAGCUCGUAGGCGGUUCGUCACGUCGGCUGUGAAAUCCCGAGGCUCAACCUCGGGUCUGCAGUCGAUACGGGCGGACUGGAGUACUGCAGGGGAGACUGGAAUUCCUGGUGUAGCGGUGAAAUGCGCAGAUAUCAGGAGGAACACCGGUGGCGAAGGCGGGUCUCUGGGCCGAUACUGACGCUGAGGAGCGAAAGCGUGGGGAGCGAACAGG
rnacentral:rRNA from 1 species